rnacentral:rRNA from 1 species
UACGUAGGGGGCUAGCGUUGUCCGGAAUCAUUGGGCGUAAAGCGCGUGUAGGCGGCUUGGUAAGUCCGUUCUGAAAGCCCGGGGCUCAACCCCGGGAGGCGGAUGGAUACUGUCAAGCUCGAGUCCGGAAGAGGCAAGUGGAAUUCCCGGUGUAGCGGUGAAAUGCGCAGAUAUCGGGAGGAACACCAAUGGCGAAGGCAGCUCUCUGGGACGGUACUGACACUGAGACGCGAAAGCGUGGGGAGCGAACAGG